GUCUUUAUGGAGGUUUAUAAAGUCUAACCUGCCCNUUGGGAACUAAAAGGCCGCGGUAUUAUGACCGUGCAAAGGUAGCAUAAUCAUUAGUUUUUUAAUUGAAGGCUAGAAUGAAUGGUUGGACAAGAAAUAAUCUGUCUUAAAUUAAUAUAUUGAAUUUAACUUUUAAGUGAAAAGGCUUAAAUAAUCUGGAGGGACGAUAAGACCCUAUAAAACUUUAUAUUUAUAAUAUAGUAGUUAGUUUUAUUUAAGGGUAUUAUUUUAGAGUAUUUGGUUGGGGUGACAAGGAUAAAAUAUUAAAUAACUGUCUUUUUUUUUUUACAGUGAUGUUUGGUUUAAUGAUCCUAAAAGGGAUUAAAGAUUAAGUUACUUUAGGGAUAACAGCGUAAUUUUCUUUAAGAGUUCUUAUCGACAAGAAAGUUUGCGACCUCGAUGUUGAAUUAAAAGUUCUUUAUAGAGUAGAGACUAUAAUAGAAGGUCUGUUCGACCUUUAAAAUUUUACAUGAUUUGAGUUCAAACCGG
rnacentral:rRNA from 1 species